rnacentral:rRNA from 1 species
UACGGGGGGGGCAAGCGUUGUUCGGAGUUACUGGGCGUAAAGGGUGUGUAGGCGGUUCUUUUAAGUUUGGUGUGAAAUCUCCCGGCUCAACCGGGAGGUGCGCCGAAUACUGAGGGACUAGAGUGCGGGAGAGGAAAGUGGAAUUCCUGGGUGUAGCGGUGAAAUGCGUAGAUAUCUGGAGGAACACCGGUGGCGAAGGCGGCAUUCUGGACCGACA